rnacentral:ncRNA from 1 species
AGACCUCAGAUCAGGCAAGACUACCCGCUGAACUUAAGCAUAUCAAUAAGCGGAGGAAAAGAAACUAACAAGGAUUCCCUUAGUAACGGCGAGCGAAGUGGGAAUAGCUCAAGCUUAAAAUCUCCGAAGCUUGCUUCGGCGAAUUGUAGUCUGUGGAAGUGUUAUCUGGCAGUAUGUUUUGGGUCUAAGUUGCCUGGAACGGCACGUCAUAGAGGGUGAUAACCCCGUCUUUGACUUGGAACAGCUGUCAAUGAGGCGCUUUCCGAGAGUCGGGCUGUUUGAGAGUGCAGCCUAAAUUGGGUGGUAGACUCCAUCUAAAGCUAAAUAUAGACGCGAGACCGAUAGCGAACAAGUACCGUGAGGGAAAGAUGAAAAGAACUUUGAAAAGAGAGUUAAAUAGUACGUGAAACCGUUAAAAGGGAAACGCAUGUAGCUAGCAAUGUAUUAUUGACAUUCAGCUGAUAAGUU